UGCAAGUCGAACGAUGAAGCCCAGCUUGCUGGGUGGAUUAGUGGCGAACGGGUGAGUAACACGUGAGUAACCUGCCCUUGACUCUGGGAUAAGCCUGGGAAACUGGGUCUAAUACCGGAUAGGAACGUCCACCGCAUGGUGGUUGUUGGAAAGAUUUAUCGGUCAUGGAUGGACUCGCGGCCUAUCAGCUUGUUGGUGAGGUAAUGGCUCACCAAGGCGACGACGGGUAGCCGGCCUGAGAGGGUGACCGGCCACACUGGGACUGAGACACGGCCCAGACUCCUACGGGAGGCAGCAGUGGGGAAUAUUGCACAAUGGGCGAAAGCCUGAUGCAGCGACGCCGCGUGAGGGAUGACGGCCUUCGGGUUGUAAACCUCUUUCAGUAGGGAAGAAGCGAAAGUGACGGUACCUGCAGAAGAAGCACCGGCUAACUACGUGCCAGCAGCCGCGGUAAUACGUAGGGUGCGAGCGUUAUCCGGAAUUAUUGGGCGUAAAGAGCUCGUAGGCGGUUUGUCGCGUCUGUCGUGAAAGUCCGGGGCUUAACCCCGGAUCUGCGGUGGGUACGGGCAGACUAGAGUGCAGUAGGGGAGACUGGAAUUCCUGGUGUAGCGGUGGAAUGCGCAGAUAUCAGGAGGAACACCGAUGGCGAAGGCAGGUCUCUGGGCUGUAACUGACGCUGAGGAGCGAAAGCAUGGGGAGCGAACAGGAUUAGAUACCCUGGUAGUCCAUGCCGUAAACGUUGGGCACUAGGUGUGGGGACCAUUCCACGGUUUCCGCGCCGCAGCUAACGCAUUAAGUGCCCCGCCUGGGGAGUACGGCCGCAAGGCUAAAACUCAAAGGAAUUGACGGGGGCCC
rnacentral:rRNA from 1 species